CCAAACCCCUGUGAACAUACCUUAAUGUUGCCUCGGCGGAUCAGCCCGCGCCCCGUAAAACGGGACGGCCCGCCAGAGGACCCAAACUCUAAUGUUUCUUAUUGUAACUUCUGAGUAAAACAAACAAAUAAAUCAAAACUUUCAACAACGGAUCUCUUGGUUCUGGCAUCGAUGAAGAACGCAGCAAAAUGCGAUAAGUAAUGUGAAUUGCAGAAUUCAGUGAAUCAUCGAAUCUUUGAACGCACAUUGCGCCCGCUGGUAUUCCGGCGGGCAUGCCUGUUCGAGCGUCAUUUCAACCCUCAAGCCCCCGGGUUUGGUGUUGGGGAUCGGCUCUGCCCUUCUGGGCGGCGCCGCCCCCGAAAUACAUUGGCGGUCUCGCUGCAGCCUCCAUUGCGUAGUAGCUAACACCUCGCAACUGGAACGCGGCGCGGCCAUGCCGUAAAACCCCAACUUCUGAAUGUUGACCUCGGAUCAGGUAGGAAUACCCGCUGAACUUAA
rnacentral:rRNA from 1 species